AUUCCAGCUCCAAUAGCGUAUAUUAAAGUUGUUGCGGUUAAAAAGCUCGUAGUUGGAUUUCUGCUGAGGACGACUGGUCCGCCCCCUGGGUGAGCAUCUGGUUCGGCCUGGGCAUCUUCUUGGGGAACGUAUCUGCACUUGAUUGUGUGGUGCGGUAUCCAGGACUUUUACUUUGAGGAAAUUAGAGUGUUUCAAGCAGGCCCGCGCCUUGAAUACAUUAGCAUGGAAUAAUAAGAUAGGACCUCGGUUCUAUUUUGUUGGUUUCUAGAGCUGAGGUAAUGAUUAAUAGGGAUAGUUGGGGGCAUUCGUAUUUAACUGUCAGAGGUGAAAUUCUUGGAUUAACGGAAGAUGAACUUCUGCGAAAGCAUCUGUCAAGGAUGUUUUCAUCA
rnacentral:rRNA from 1 species